rnacentral:other from 1 species
AGAUUCCUGAUGUGUUAGUCACCAUAUGAAGUUUUGACCGAACACCAAUUAAUACGGGAGUCCUUGUUCAUUCUAUGGAGUGCGUGCCGGUUUUGUCCGGAAGCAUGAAGUAGGAGGCGGGACACCCACCUGCCUAGAGCGGGAUCAAAACCUCAGUAAAACGUGACGGCACGAUUGGGAUAAGA